rnacentral:rRNA from 1 species
CGGCACGGGUGAGUAACACGUAUCCAACCUGCCGUCUACUCUUGGCCAGCCUUCUGAAAGGAAGAUUAAUCCAGGAUGGCAUCAUGAGUUCACAUGUCCGCAUGAUUAAAGGUAUUUUCCGGUAGACGAUGGGGAUGCGUUCCAUUAGAUAGUAGGCGGGGUAACGGCCCACCUAGUCAACGAUGGAUAGGGGUUCUGAGAGGAAGGUCCCCCACACUGGUACUGAGACACGGACCAA